AUACGGAGGGUGCAAGCGUUAAUCGGAAUUACUGGGCGUAAAGCGCGCGUAGGCGGAUAUUUAAGUCUCAUGUGAAAGCCCUGGGCUCAACCUGGGAACUGCAUGGGAUACUGGGUAUCUAGAAUACAGUAGAGGGUAGUGGAAUUUCAGGUGUAGCGGUGAAAUGCGUAGAGAUCUGAAGGAACAUCAGUGGCGAAGGCGACUACCUGGACUGAUAUUGACGCUGAGGUGCGAAAGCGUGGGGAGCAAACGGUAUUAGAAACCCCAGUAGUCC
rnacentral:rRNA from 1 species